CAACAGGAUAAUACAUGCUCAUAAAGAGUUGUUCCUUGUAAAGUAAUGAUUUAACAACCAAGCCACUAUCUCUAUAUCAUCAGCAGUUACAAACAUCAAAAUAUUUGCUUAUAUGUACGUUUUGUAAAAAGCCAGAAUUGUAGUCAGGACUAUGACAAAGUAAAGAAGCUUAUGAAUACAAAUGAGGCUGAUUCCCACUUAACUGGAUUAAUGGAGACUCUUAGACAAGCAGAGCAGAAGCUUUUAAGUUCUAGAAUUUGGUUGGCUGAUCCCAAGUUUGAAAUAUGGAAGAGAUUGUACUGGAAGAAUGUGCAAAAUUCAUUAUCUCAUUGGAACCAAAACCAGAAAAGACCUAAUGAUGUUAAAGAAAAACAUUCAAAAUACAGUCAAAUUUAAACAAUUCUAUGGUUGCAAUAGGAAUUAUUAGUACAAGAAAGUUGUGUAAAAGAAUAACUUACAAUUGCUAGAAAAUUUCAUUAUUUUCUAUUUAUCUGUGAGUAUUUGUUCUAAUAAAUACUUAUACCAUAGUG
rnacentral:misc_RNA from 1 species